rnacentral:rRNA from 1 species
UACGGAGGGUGCAAGCGUUAUCCGGAUUCACUGGGUUUAAAGGGCGCGUAGGUGGCUUUGUAAGUCAGUGGUGAAAUGUCGCGGCUCAACCGCGAAACUGCCAUUGAUACUGCUUAGCUUGAAUCACGUCGAGGUGGAUGGAAUAUUACAUGCAGCGGUGAAAUGCUUAGAUAUGUAAUAGAACACCGAUUGCGAAGGCAGUUCACUAGGCGUGUAUUGACGCUGAGAUGCGAAAGCGUGGGGAUCAAACAGG